UAAGAAUGUAAGGGUGUAUGGUGGAUGCCUUGGCUCCAAGAAGCGAUGAAGGACGUGUUAUGGCUGCGAUAAGUUUCGGCGAGGUGCCAAAUAACCUUUGACCCGUAAAUUUCCGAAUGGGGAAACCCUCCUGUCAUUGGCAGGAAUCUACGUAUGUAGAUGCGCACCCAGCGAAGUGAAACAUCUCAGUAGCUGGAGGAAUAGAAAGCAAUAGUUACGUUCAGGAAGAAGGUUCUUGCGAUUCCCUGAGUAGCGGCGAGCGAAACGGGAACAGCCCAAACCAUUGAUGUUUACAUCAGUGGGGUUGUAGGGCAAAAACGGCAUUUAGUUGCAAAGAGUUACAAAACGUAUGUAUAGAAAAAUGAGUUGGAAAGCUCGACCCCAGUAGGUAAUAGUCCUGUAUUCGAAAUGCAUAUAUCUCUUUUGUUUUUGUUCCUGAGUAGUUCGAGACAUGAAUAGCUCGAAUGAAUCCACCAGUACUAACUGGUAAGGCUAAAUAUUCUUGGAGACCGAUAGUGAACAAGUACCGUGAGGGAAAGGUGAAAAGAACCCCGGAGAGGGGAGUGAAAUAGAUCUGAAACCAUACACCUACAAGGAGUCGGAGCCUGGGAUUUAUCCUGGGUGACGGCGUGCCUAUUGAAGAAUGAGCCGGCGAGUGUACCUUUGUCCUUUGUCUAAGUGGUAGUCCCACGGAGGCACAGUGAAAGCGAGCGUGAAUAGCGCGAAUAUAGGGCAGGGGUACGACCCGAAGCGUGAUGAGCUUACCAUGAGCAGGGUGAAGCGACUGUAAUAGGUCGUGGAGGCCCGAACCCGUUAGCCGUACAAAACUAUGGGAUGACUUGUGGUAAGGAGUGAAAAGCUUAUCGAAUUACGUAAUAGCUGGUUCUCUCCGAAACAGCUUUUGGGUUGGCGUCGUGUGGUCCCCCUGGGGGUAGAGCACUGGAAAGAAACGACAGGGAGAAAUCUCGCGUUUCUUAUCAAACUCCGAAUACCAGUGGAUUAUAGCACGGCAGUUAGACUACGGGGGAGAAGCUCCGUUGGUCGAAAGGGAAACAGCCCAGAUCGCCAGUUAAGGUCCCUAAAUAUAUACUCAGUGCAACUUGAGGAGGUGAGGAUUCUCAAACAGCCAGGAGGUUGGCUUAGAAGCAGCCAUCCUUUAAAGAAAGCGUAACAGCUCACUGGUCGAGAGUCCUUGCGCCGAAGAUGAUCGGGGCUCAAGUAUAUUACCGAAACUGCGGAUUUCCAUGAUUUAUCAUGGGAGUGGUAGGAGAGCGUCCUUCUCUGCGAUGAAUCCAAGGCGAGAGCCACGGUGGAGCGAGGAGGAGUGAGAAUGCCGGCACAAGUAACCGCAAGACGGGUGAGACCCCCGUCCGUCGAAAUACCAAGGUUUCCUUUGCUAUGUUGAUCAGCGAAGGGUUAGUCGGUCCUAAGGGAAUCCCGAAUGGGGGACCCGAUGGAUAGCAGGUUAAUAUUCCUGCACACUGUUAUGUUCCUAUGGAGGGACGGAGCGUUGUACUUAUAGCAUCUUAUUGGAUUGGUGCUGGAGCAUUGAGGAAGUCACGUAGGCAAAUCCGCGUGGCAAUAUUCCGAGGUGAGUCUGAAUGUGCGGCUACGGCCAAGCAAAUAUAAGGAGCACGCUUCCAAGAAAAACUUCGUUUGGGUUAAGCAUAACAGUUCCGUACCGCAAACCGACACAGGUGGUAAGGUCGAGAAGACCAAGGCGAACGAGUGAGAGGUCCUCAAGGAACUCGGCAAAAAAGCGGCCGUAACUUAGGGAUAAGGCCUGCCCUUCAGCAAUGAGGGGCCGCAGCGAAAGAUUUCCUGGCGACUGUUUAACAAAAACACAGCUCUCUGCGAACACGUAAGUGGAUGUAUAGAGGGUGACGCCUGACCUAUGCUGGAAGGUUAAAUAUGGGGGGUGAUAUGAGAUUCGUCUUGUAUUGCUGGACUAUAUAAGCCCCAGUAAAUGUCAGCGAUAACUAUAAUCGUUCUAAGGUAGAGCGCAUUUGGUUAUAGGUUGCGUAUUUCCUUGUCGGGUAAGUUCCGACGUGCACGAAUGGCGUAACGACUGGGAAACUGUCUCGAGGACCUGCUCGGUGAAAAUACAAUCGCGGUAAAGAUGCCGCGUACCUGCAGAUAGACGAAAAGACCCCAGGUGCUUUACUGUAGCUUCGUAUUGGGGCUAUUGAAUUAAUGCGUAGUAUAGUGGGGAGACUUUGAAGUGGGCUUUCGGGUACCAUGGAGUCGUCAGUGAAAUACCCAUCUUUAUUUUGGUAGUCUCUAACCAGAUAGAAAAAAUCUAUCUGAGACAGUGCGUGGCAGGCAGUUUUAGUGGGGCGCUACCCUCCUAAAGAGUAACGGAG
rnacentral:rRNA from 1 species